AUUGAACGCUGGCGGCGGGCCUAACACAUGCAAGUCGAACGAGUGGCGGACGGGUGAGUAAUGUCUGGGAACCUGCCUGAUGGAGGGGGAUAACUACUGGAAACGGUAGCUAAUACCGCAUACCAUCAGAUGUGCCCAGAUGGGAUUAGCUAGUUGGUGGGGUAACGGCUCACCACGGCGACGAUCCCUAGCUGGUCUGCGAGGAUGACCAGGCACACUGGAACUGAGGCACGGUCCAGACUCCUACGGGAGGAAGCAGGGGGGAAUUGUGCACAAUGGGCGCAAGCCUGAUGCAGCCAUGCCGCGUGUAUGAAGAAGGCCUGCGGGUUUUAAAGUACUUUCAGCGGGGAGGCGUUACCCGCAGAAGAAGCACCGGCUAACUCCGUGCCAGCAGCCGCGGUAAUUC
rnacentral:rRNA from 1 species